GACGAACGCUGGCGGCGUGCCUAACACAUGCAUAGUCGAACGGGAUCCAUGCCAUGAAGUUUUCGGAUGGAUUGGUGUGGUGAGAGUGGCGAACGGGCGAGUAACGCGUGAGCAACCUACCUCGUACUGGGGGAUAACGUCGGGAAACCGGCGCUAAUACCGCAUAAGACUACGAUGUCGCAUGGCGUUGUAGUCAAAGCUCCGGCGGUACGAGACGGGCUCGCGUCCGAUUAGCUAGUUGGUAGGGUAACGGCCUACCAAGGCGACGAUCGGUAGCCGGACUGAGAGGUCGGCCGGCCGCAUUGGGACUGAGACACCGGCCCAGACUCCUACGGGAGGCAGCAGUGGGGAAUAUUGCGCAAUGGGGGAAACCCCUGACGCAGCGACGCCGCGUGAAGGAAGAAGGCCUUCGGGUUGUAAACCUUCUUUGGCAGGGGACGAAGAAAGACGGUACCCCUGAGAACAAGCCCACGGCUACCUACGUGCCCAGCAGCCGCGGUAAUACGUAGGUGGCGAGCGUUGUCCGGAAUUACUGGGCGUAAAGGGCGUGUAGGCGGGGGGACAAGUCAGAUGUGAAAUACCGCAGCUUAACUGCGGGGCUGCAUCUGAAACUGUUCUUCUUGAGUGUCGGAGAGGAAAGUGGAAUUCCCAGUGUAGCGGUGAAAUGCGUAGAGAUUGGGAGGAACACCAGUGGCGAAGGCGGCUUUCUGGACGACAACUGACGCUGAGGCGCGAAAGCGUGGGGAGCAAACAGGAUUAGAUACCCUGGUAGUCCACGCUGUAAACGAUGGAUACUAGGUGUAGGAGGUAUCGACCCCUUCUGUGCCGGAGUUAACACAAUAAGUAUCCCGCCUGGGGAGUACGGCCGCAAGGUUGAAACUCAAAGGAAUUGACGGGGGCCCGCACAAGCAGUGGAGCAUGUGGUUUAAUUCGAAGCAACGCGAAGAACCUUACCAGGGCUUGACAUCCCUCUGACCGGUGUAGAGAUACACCUUCCCUUCGGGGGCCAGGGGGGAAGAACAGGGUGGGUGGCAUGGUUGUCGUCAGCUCGUGUCGUGAGAUGUUGGGUUAAGUCCCGCAACGAGCGCAACCCUUGUCGUUAGUUGCCAGCACUUUGGGUGGGCACUCUAACGAGACUGCCGGCGACAAGUCGGAGGAAGGUGGGGAUGACGUCAAAUCAUCAUGCCCCUUAUGUCCUGGGCUACACACGCGCUACAAUGGCGACUACAGAGGGAAGCAAAGCCGCGAGGUGGAGCAAAUCCCCAAAAGUCGUCCCAGUUCGGAUUGCAGGCUGCAACUCGCCUGCAUGAAGUCGGAAUUGCUAGUAAUGGCAGGUCAGCACACUGCCGUGAAUACGUUCCCGGGCCUUGUACACACCGCCCGUCACACCAUGAGAGCUGACAACACCCGAAGUCGGUAGCCUAACCGCGAGGGGGCGCCGCCGAAGGUGGGUUGGUGAUGGG
rnacentral:rRNA from 1 species